ensembl:lincRNA
AUCUUUUUCAUAUUUCGAAUGUAAAACUGUUUUGGAAACUGUUAUUUUUAGAAACAGUUAAAAACAUUUUUUCAUUAGUUUUUCAUGUAAAAUUGUGACAACCAGCAUGAAAUAACUGUCAUCACAGAAGCAUGGUAUAUUUGAUUCCAAAACAUAUUCUUUGUAAGUUUUAAUAUAUUUAUGUAUUAUUUAUACUUAGAUUGUAACCCAUAAUGUACAGAUAUUAUUUUUCCUUCAACCCUUAAGAAUAUUCUUAAAUAAUAAAAUUAAAAUUAAUGAAUUAUAAUUUUUGUUGCUUGGGAAAAAGAAUAGACACACACGUGACAGUGCAUCACUUCACCCCAUCAUUUCAUCUCAUCAUUUUAUCUCAUUUCAUCUCAUCCCAUCUCAUCUCAUUUCACAUCAUCUCAUCAUUUCAUCAAAUCUCAUCUCAUCUCAUUUCCAUUUCAUUUUCAUUAUUUCAUUUCAUCAUUUCAUUUCACUAUUUCAUUUCAUCUAAUUUCAUUUAUUUCAUUAUGUCAUUUCAUAUAAUCUCAUUUCAUUUCAUCUCAUAUUUUUGAUAUCAUUUUUCACAUCAUUUUUCAUCUCAUUUCAUCUCAAUUCAUCUCAUUUCAUCUCCUCAUCUCAUCAUUUCCUCCUUUCAUUACAACAUUUCAUCUCAUUUCUUCUCAUCUCAUUUCAAUUUCAUUAUUUCAUCUCAUUUCAUUAUUUCACCUAAUUUCAUUAUUUCAUCUCAUCUCAUCUCAGUUCAUCUCAUCUCAUUUCAUCUCAGCAUUUCAUCUCAUCAUUUUUCAUCUCAUCAUUUUUCAUCUCAUCAUUUAAUCUCAUUUCAUUUCAUUUCGUCUCAUCAUUUCAUCUCAUCAUUUCAUGUCACAUCUAUUCAUUUCAUCAUUUCAUUUCAACAUUUCAUCAUUUCAUCUCAUUUCAUCUCAUCUUUCAAUUUCAAUAUCAUUUCAUCAUUUCUUUUCAUUUCAUCUCAUUUCAUUAUUUCAUUUCAUUUCAAUUCAUCUCAUCAUUUCAUCUCAUCAUUUUUCAUCUCAUCAUUUUUCAUCUCAUCAUCUCAUCUCAUCAUUUCAUCUCAUUUCUUCUCAUCAUUUCAUCUCAUCAUUUUAUCUCAUUUCAUCUCAUCUCAUUUUAAUUUCAUUAUUUCGUUUCAUUUCACUUCAUUUCAUUUCAUCUCAUUUUAUCUCAUCUCAUUUCAUCUCAUCAUUUCUUCUCGUCUCAUCAUUUCUUCAUUUCAUCUCAUUUCAUCUCAUCUCACCUCAUCUCAUCAUUUCAUCUCAUCCUUUCAUUUCAUCUCGUUUCAUCUCCUCAUUUCAUCUCAUCUCACCUCAGCAUUUCAUCAUUUCAUCUCAUCUCACCUCAGCAUUUCAUCAUUUCAUCUCAUCAUUUCUUUUUUCAUCUCAUUUUACCUCAUUUCAUCUCAUAUCUCAAUUCAAUUUCCUUUCAUUAUUUCAUCUCAUUUCAUCUCAUCAUUUCCUCUCAUCAUUACAUCUCAUAAUUUCAUUUCAUUAUUUCAUUUCAUUAUUUCAUAUCAUCUCAUUUCAUCUCAUCUCAUCAUUUUAUCAUUUUAUUUCAUCAUCUCAUCAUUUCAUCUCAUCUCAUUUCAAUUUUAUUUAUUUAUUUCAAUUUCAUUUCAUUAUUUCAUUUCAUUUCAUCUCAUCAGUUCAUCUCAUCAUUUCAUCUCAUCAUCUCAUCUCAUCAUUUCAUCUCAUCAUUCAUCUCAUCAUUUCAUAUCAUUUUAUCUCAUCUCAUCAUCUCAUCUCAUUUCAUCUCAUCUUAUUUCAUCUCAUGUCAUUUCAUCAUUACAUUUCAUCUCAUUUUAUGUCAUCAUUUCAUGUCAUCAUUUCAUCACAUCUCAUCUCAUCAUUUCAUCUCAUCGUUUCAUCAUUUCAUCUCAUUUCAACUCAUUGCAUCUCAUCUCAUUUCCAUUUCAUUAUUCCAUUUCAUCACUUCAUUUCAUUAUGUCAUUUCAUCUCAUCAUAUUUCAUCUCAUUUCAUCUCAUCUCAUUUCAUUUCAUCUCAUCAUUUCAUCUCAUUUUAUCUCAUCUCAUUUCAUCUCAUCAUUUCUUCUCAUCUCAUCAUUUCCAUUUCAUUUUCAUUUCAUUAUUUCAUCAUUUCAUUAUUUCAUUUCAUUAUGCCAUUUCAUUUCAUCUCAUUACAUUUCAUUUCAUCUCAUCAUUUCAUCCAUCAUUUCAUUUCAUUUCAUCAUUUCAUCUCAUGAUUUCAUCUCAUCUCAUCAUCUCAUUUCAUCUCAUUAUUUUCUCUCAUUUCAUCUCAUCUCAUUUCAUCAUUUCAUUUCAUCAUUACAUCUCAUCAUUUCAACUCAUCUCAUUUCAAUUUCAUUUCAAUUUCAUUACAUUUCAUAAUUUCAUUUCAUUAUUUCAUUUCAUUUCAUUUCAUCUCAUUUCAUUAUUUCAUUUCAUUUCAUCUCAUUUUUCAUCUCAUCAUUUUUCAUCUGAUUUCAUCUCAUCAUGUCAUCUCAUCGUUCAUCUCAUUUCAUCUCAUUAUUUCAUCUCCUCAUCUAAUUUCAAUUUCAUUAUUUCAUAUCAUUUUAUUAUUUCACUUCAUUUUAUCUCAUCAUUUCAUCUCGUUUCAUCUCAUCAUCUAUCAUCUCAUCAUUUCAUCUCAUUUAAUCUCAUCUCAUCUCCUUUCAAUUUCUUUUCAACUUUGUCAUUUCAUCUCAUCAUUUCAUCUCAUCAUUUCUACUCACCAUUUCAUCUCAAAAUUUCAUCUCAUCAUCUCAUCUCAUCAUUUUGUCAUUUCAUCUCAUCAUUUCCUCUCAUCUCAAUUCAUCUUAUCAUUUCAUCUAAGUGAAAUGACAUAAUGGAAUCAUGAAAUGAAAUGGAUAGGAUGCCCUCAGUGAUGUUAAAUUUAAAAAUUGUUUCUUUUCAU